AUACGGAGGGUGCAAGCGUUAUGCGGAAUCACUGGGCGUAAAGGACGCGUAGGCGGGUUGGCAAGUCAGAUGUGAAAUCCUACAGCUUAACUGUAGAACUGCAUUUGAAACUGCUAACCUAGAGUAUGGGAGGGGGAGAUGGAAUUAGUGGUGUAGGGGUAAAAUCAGUAGAUAUCACUAGGAAUACCGAAAGCGAAGGCGAUCUCCUGGAACAUAACUGACGCUAAGGCGUGAAAGCGUGGGGAGCAAACAGGAUUAGAAACCCUAGUAGUCC
rnacentral:rRNA from 1 species